rnacentral:misc_RNA from 1 species
UCUCCGUAGGUGAACCUGCGGAGGGAUCACUACAGGCUUGCAAAAGCUCUGAAACCACUGUUUAUCUACCUGAAUCUGCUUCGGCGGGCGGCCCCAGGGCGGGGCCGUAGCCGCAAGGCGCCCGCCGAAGACCCCUAAACUCUGUCGUCUUGAGAAUCUCUGAGUAUCAUAUUAAACAGAAAACAACUUUCAACAACGGAUCUCUUGGCUCUGGCACCGAGGAAAAACGCAGCAGACCGGAAGAGACAACGCCGGAACUCCAGUCACGCGUACCAAUCU